CUAAGAGGUGGAAGGAAGCAGCCCAGCAGUGCCCCUCAGAGUCAAAGACAGCGUGGCUCGCUCUCACAAGCCCUUCAGCUUGCUGGUGGUCCUGAAAGGAGGAGGUGCUUUGCUUCUCUUUUUCACAGAUGUCAAUUACGGAUCAACUUCUGAGUCACAUAGAAGAGCACCAUCAAUUGGCCAUUUCUCACCUGAUCACUGAGGAUAUAAAGUGCUUUUCCAGACUCCAGGACUCAGUUCAUUGCUAGUAUCAGGACGCCUCUCAUGUAUGGGAAGCCAGAAACAUCCCAGGAGCCUCACUGACUGCUUGGGCACAGCCCUCUGAGCAGACCUAUGAAGAAACAGAAGGAUUUGUGCCUUUUAGGUAUCUCUGGUC
rnacentral:lncRNA from 1 species